GACGAACGCUGGCGGCGUGCUUAACACAUGCAAGUCGAACGAUGAACCAGGGCUUGCCCUGGGGAUUAGUGGCGAACGGGUGAGUAACACGUGGGCAACCUGCCCCAGACACCGGGAUAACCUCUCGAAAGAGUGGCUAAUACCGGAUAUGACCACUUUGGGCAUCCAACGGUGGUGGAAAGGAUUCUGGUCUGGGAUGGGCCCGCGGCCUAUCAGCUUGUUGGUGGGGUAAUGGCCUACCAAGGCGGCGACGGGUAGCCGGCCUGAGAGGGGGACGGGCCACACGGGGACUGAGACACGGCCCAGACGCCUACGGGAGGCGGCAGUGGGGAAUAUUGCGCAAUGGGCGAAAGCCUGACGCAGCGACGCCGCGUGAGGGACGAAGGUCUUCGGAUUGUAAACCUCUUUCAGCAGGGACGAAGCGAAAGUGACUGUACCUGCAGAAGAAGCACCGGCUAACUACGUGCCAGCAGCAGCCGCGGUAA
rnacentral:rRNA from 1 species